GAGAGUUUGGACGCUGGCUCAGGAUGAACGCUGGCGGCGUGCUUAACACAUGCAAGUCGAACGAUGAAGCCGAAGCUUGCUUUGGUGGAUUAGUGGCGAACGGGUGAGUAACACGUGAGUAACCUGCCCCUGACUCUGGGAUAAGCCUGGGAAACUGGGUCUAAUACCGGAUAUGACCAUGGAACGCAUGUUCUGUGGUGGAAAGAUUUAUCGGUUGGGGAUGGACUCGCGGCCUAUCAGCUUGUUGGUGAGGUAAUGGCUCACCAAGGCGACGACGGGUAGCCGGCCUGAGAGGGUGACCGGCCACACUGGGACUGAGACACGGCCCAGACUCCUACGGGAGGCAGCAGUGGGGAAUAUUGCACAAUGGGCGAAAGCCUGAUGCAGCGACGCCGCGUGAGGGAUGACGGCCUUCGGGUUGUAAACCUCUUUCAGUAGGGAAGAAGCGAGAGUGACGGUACCUGCAGAAGAAGCGCCGGCUAACUACGUGCCAGCAGCCGCGGUAAUACGUAGGGCGCAAGCGUUAUCCGGAUUUAUUGGGCGUAAAGAGCUCGUAGGCGGUUUGUCGCGUCUGCCGUGAAAGUCCGAGGCUCAACCUCGGAUCUGCGGUGGGUACGGGCAGACUAGAGUGAUGUAGGGGAGACUGGAAUUCCUGGUGUAGCGGUGAAAUGCGCAGAUAUCAGGAGGAACACCGAUGGCGAAGGCAGGUCUCUGGGCAUUUACUGACGCUGAGGAGCGAAAGCAUGGGGAGCGAACAGGAUUAGAUACCCUGGUAGUCCAUGCCGUAAACGUUGGGCACUAGGUGUGGGGGACAUUCCACGUUUUCCGCGCCGUAGCUAACGCAUUAAGUGCCCCGCCUGGGGAGUACGGCCGCAAGGCUAAAACUCAAAGGAAUUGACGGGGGCCCGCACAAGCGGCGGAGCAUGCGGAUUAAUUCGAUGCAACGCGAAGAACCUUACCAAGGCUUGACAUGUUCCAGACCGGGCUAGAGAUAGUCCUUCCCUUCGGGGCUGGUUCACAGGUGGUGCAUGGUUGUCGUCAGCUCGUGUCGUGAGAUGUUGGGUUAAGUCCCGCAACGAGCGCAACCCUCGUUCCAUGUUGCCAGCACGUAGUGGUGGGGACUCAUGGGAGACUGCCGGGGUCAACUCGGAGGAAGGUGGGGAUGACGUCAAAUCAUCAUGCCCCUUAUGUCUUGGGCUUCACGCAUGCUACAAUGGCCGGUACAAUGGGUUGCGAUACUGUGAGGUGGAGCUAAUCCCUAAAAGCCGGUCUCAGUUCGGAUUGGGGUCUGCAACUCGACCCCAUGAAGUCGGAGUCGCUAGUAAUACCAGA
rnacentral:rRNA from 1 species